rnacentral:rRNA from 1 species
AGCAGUCGCCGCGGGAAUACGAGGGGGGCUAGCGUUGUUCGGAUUUACUGGGCGUAAAGCGCACGUAGGCGGACUUUUAAGUCAGGGGUGAAAUCCCGGGGCUCAACCCCGGAACUGCCUUGAUACUGGGAGUCUUGAGUUCGAGAGAGGUGAGUGGAAUUGCGAGUGUAGAGGUGAAAUUCGUAGAUAUUCGCAGGAACACCAGUGGCGAAGGCAGCUCACUGGCUCGAUACUGGCGCUGAGGUGCGAAAGCGUGGGGAGCAAACAGGAUUAGAUACCCCUGUAGUCCCUGUCUCUUAUACC